GGCCCCUCGGGCAAGGAGGGGAUCCCCGGGCACCCCGGGCAGAGAGGAGACGCCGGUUUCCAAGGCAAGCCGGGUCCCCCCGGCCCCCCAGGUGUGGUCGGAGCUCAGGGUCCCUGGGGGGAGUCGGGCCCCGCUGGCGAUCGGGGUCACCCCGGCCCCCCCGGGCCCCCCGGGGAGCAGGGACUGCCCGGCGGCGCCGGCAGCGGCGGGAGCAAGG